GACGAACGCUGGCGGCGUGCUUAACACAUGCAAGUCGAGCGGAAAGGCCCUGCUUUUGUGGGGUGCUCGAGUGGCGAACGGGUGAGUAACACGUGAGUAACCUGCCCUUGACUUUGGGAUAACUUCAGGAAACUGGGGCUAAUACCGGAUAGGAGCUCCUGCUGCAUGGUGGGGGUUGGAAAGUUUCGGCGGUUGGGGAUGGACUCGCGGCUUAUCAGCUUGUUGGUGGGGUAGUGGCUUACCAAGGCUUUGACGGGUAGCCGGCCUGAGAGGGUGACCGGCAACAUUGGGACUGAGAUACGGCCCAGACUCCUACGGGAGGCAGCAGUGGGGAAUAUUGCACAAUGGGCGGAAGCCUGAUGCAGCAACGCCGCGUGCGGGAUGACGGCCUUCGGGUUGUAAACCGCUUUCGCCUGUGACGAAGCGUGAGUGACGGUAAUGGGUAAAAAAGCACCGGCUAACUACGUG
rnacentral:rRNA from 1 species